rnacentral:lncRNA from 1 species
UGUGCCAGCCCCUGCCAUCUCCCGCAUGAACUACAGGUACAGAAGGAAUGUUAGCUCCUCUGUGAAACACAAAAAGGGGCUACUGUCAAGUUUUCUCUAAUUAAAAAAAGGAACACGUGCUCACUGAAUAAGAUUUAGAAACCAAGAAAAGUAUGAAGAAAAAAUUGAAGAUCGCCUAUAGUCCCACAUCCCAGGGUCAUCUGUGUCAGUGCUUGGUGUAUUUUCUCCAGCCUCUCGAGGCUGCAUUCUGUUCAACCCGGUUCACCGUGUGGACAUUGCAGGUGUGAGGUGGCAGCACCCGGGAUGUACCUGAUGCCCUGACAGGCACUGGGUAGGUGACUCUUCUCUAUAACCCUGAUAACCCUCUGUGGCUGUGAGCGGGAAGACCCCUCUGUGGGCUGCUGAGCUGGCAAGGGCAGAAGAGGGUUCUGGAUCCAGGGCCUGGCUCCUCCUCUCCACCCCACACAGACCCUACCCGAUACCUUCAUCCCGCUAACCAGAUUAGGAAGGCCCAUGGAGCCGAGGCGAGCCUGCAGCCACCAUGGCCAGGCCUGGGAGCCCAGGGUCAGGCUGCUCCCAUGGCCCAGUCAUGCUCAGCCAGGUCCCCAUUCCGUGGGGGGGCAUGAGGGGUGCCCAGAGGGAGCAGCAUGGUGCCCGGGAGACACCUGGGUGCUGCAGAGAGUAAGAGGUGCAGCUCACACAUGGAAAGCCCCCAUGAUUUCUGGGUGUUUUUACAAGGAGACCAACAAACAGCAUUUGGCAUCUGGCCAAAGAGGAUUCUAUCCCUCUGUUGUCCCAGCAGCACCAGCUUCUACAAGGGCUCCAAGCGCCUGUGCAGAGGUGGCAACGAGGCCUAAUGAGUAGAACACACACCGCGGCUCCCUCCCCAGUACCAUCCCCUCCCUUCUUCCUCAUGAGGUGGAUCAGGGUGGCCACGUGGCCAGUCACAGGGCUCUCAGCCAGGGUCCCUGCUGGCUGAGGCAGCCACUGUUCUCCCCGGCCACUCUAAUGAGCCAGGGAGAGUGAACUGGGCAAGGCCCUGGGAACACAUGCCAGGGUGAGCUUCAUAAGGUCAAGGCAGCUGGCCUCUGCCCUUUGCACUCUGUCCUUGUCUUCCUUCCUGCUGGGAGGCACAGAAGCCAUCUGGAGGCUGUGAGGGUGGAGACAAAGGCCACAUAAGCCCAGGAUGGCCAGGAGCCGACGGGAGCCCGGGGCGGGGCUCUGUCUGCUGCUUCCCUCUAAUCUGCCCAUGGGGUGAGGACUCCUGGGGGACGAGGCACUACAGCCUGCUUUCUGUUUCCUGCAGACUGAUUAGUCUUAUGGAAGCAGACAAGGGAGCAAAAAAAUGGCGGUGGGGGGGACCCCAGAACUGCCACGGACAAGAAGCCAUCGAAGAAACACACUCCCAUCUAUUUGUUAAACAACCACAUCCUGGUGGCUGCCUCUGUGCCAGGGCCUCGUGGACUCUGGGCAUGGUGCUCUGAAUGAAGACAAACAUGACCACACAGUCUAUGGUGGGGACCACAGACAACAAGAAAUAAGCUACACACACUGAGAAACACUAAGAAACAGCAGUGCGAGUGAGCGUGUGGCCAGGUGGCCAGGGAGAGCCCUGGCAAGGAGGGGACAUCUGAGAUGAGCCCUGGAGGAGACGCAGGAGUGAGGCGCAAGGCAUGGCCAUCUGAGAAGAGGGAAUGCAUGACGCAGCCUAUGGUGGGAGCAGCCCAGGAGGGCAGCUUCAAAAGUGAAACUGAUGGGAUGUGCUGAGAAUCAUCCGUGGGAAGUGCAAGCAGGACCCCAGCAUGGCCACAGCACAGCAAGCGAGGGGAAGAGAGAGGAUGGAAGUCAGGUGGGAAGGGGGCUUGCAGGUCACAGAAACAAGCCCACCUUCGAGUCUGUAGGGGGGCUCUGAUUCCCCCCUGGCUUGCGCCAACCGCAUGUGGAGAAGGGGAAGAUGCCUGGGGUUGGGGAGCAGGAGGCCAGGCCAGGGGGCAGCAGCUGGGAUGCUGGGACUUGUCAGAUCCUGGAUAAACCUCAAAGGUGAAGGUGAUGGGAUGUGCUGAGAGUCAUCAGUGGGAUGUGCAUAAGAGGGAGUCAAAGAUGUCUGAGCAGAGAGAAGGACCUCGCUGGCAUCUACAGUGAAGGGAGGGACCUCGCUGGCAUCUAUAGUGAAGGGAAGGGUCACGCUGGCAUCUACAGUAAAGGGAGGGACCUAGCUGGCAUCUAGUGACGGGAGGGACCUCGCUCACAUCUACAGUAAAGGGAGGGGCCACACUGGCAUCUACAGUAAAGGGAGGGGCCCCACUGGCAUCAACAGUGAAGGGAAGAACCACCCUGGCAUCAACAGUGAUGGCGGAUGGGCGACCAGCGCAGCGGUGUCUGGAGCUGAGGUUGGACCCAUUAGUUGGGGCUGCUAAUCAGUUCACCAUGCAGGCCAUGGGCCAAGCCACUGAAGGGAUCCACCUGGACUAGGAGUGACUGGGCUGGCCACAGAGCUCUGCCCUACCCGCUCACCGCUGGACAUGAAACAGCAAGUGCCUAUCCUGGAGGGCUCCGCCUGGGGAGUGCCAGGCAAGGAGAAUGAGGCCUGGAGAGCUUAAGAGACUGGCCCACGGAGGAAGCAGGAGUCAUCUUUCCACAAAACUACACUUCCCCAAAAGCUGAACUCUUGGACAAGGAGCCCACUGCCAAACCUAAGAGUAACAAAUUUCAGCAAAUAAAAGGAAGUGCCAUUUCCAAUGGCAUCCUCGAAUA